ensembl:lncRNA
UGUAUAUAUCACACUGUGCUGAGUUUAGUCAGAAGGCUGGUGAUGUGCAGAAAAUAAUGCAAAGAUUUCUGUGGACUUUAUCCCUUUUCCAAGUAUCGAGACAGAAUAAAAGUCCUGAAGCUACAGAGCAAUCCGAUGCCUCCACAAUGACAACAGCUACUGCAGCUCCUACUGUGUCCACUCGUGAUCCAGUGUCGAGGCAGAAUCAAAGCCCUCACAGUGAUAUCAAGUACUGCAUGUAGGACAUAAACGCAUAUUGCUGCACUCCAACUAGUAAACUCCUUAUUAUGUUUCUGUUAACCAAUUAGAAACAUCAGCAAAGGAAUAGUUGGAUAAAUAAUUAGAUGCAAAUUCAAUCAUUGUAUGGAAUAUUUAGAUCCUUUUCUUAAAAAAGAGGGAGUGCACAAGAAUUUCUUAUAAAAUGUUCAAUGUAGAUAUUUAUUUCUUAAUACUACUUCAUAUGAAAAGGUGUCACCCACAACUCAAACUAAACAUUCGUUAUCCCCAAAUGUUUUUCUUUAUUGAUCGCUCUGUUCUGUUUCUUAUUUUCCAGUAUUGACUAAUCACUUGCAUUUAAAUAAUAUUCUUAAUUGCCUGCUUAGUAAUCAAAGUGGGUUCUUGAAUAAAGAAAUUAUUAACAUUUAAAAUGCUUAACAUUACCUGUGUUGUUCUUAACUGAAAGCCUGUGUUCACUUACUGAAAAAUGCUUCUAAUGUUUCCUAAAUUGUGAGUAAAUUUUCCGGGAUUAGAUUUACAGAAAGUGACUGAACUGUGAGAAGCUCCAUGGUGAAAUGAUGUGUUCACCUUGAACAAAAGACCAGAGUUUAUUCUGGUCAGGAUCACAGCAAACUGGAACACUGGGAGCAAGGCUGGAAUACAUCCUGGAUGAGAUGCUAGUCCACACACGCGCGCACACACACACUCACACUCACUCUUGACUGCUGCCUAUAGCUUAUUCUGUCUUGCUCACAUAUUUAAACUGUUAGCUCAUAACAUUGUUCCAGUUCUCAAAACAACUAGCUGAAAGUGAGAUCAGACCUGUGGUGUGUUACGGGAACAGAAACAGAG